rnacentral:rRNA from 1 species
AUGAACGCUGGCGGCGUGCCUAAUACAUGCAAGUCGAGCGAACAGACGAGGAGCUUGCUCCUCUGACGUUAGCGGCGGACGGGUGAGUAACACGUGGAUAACCUACCUAUAAGACUGGGAUAACUUCGGGAAACCGGAGCUAAUACCGGAUAACAUGUUGAACCGCAUGGUUCAACAGUGAAAGACGGUUUUGCUGUCACUUAUAGAUGGAUCCGCGUCGCAUUAGCUAGUUGGUAAGGUAACGGCUUACCAAGGCAACGAUGCGUAGCCGACCUGAGAGGGUGAUCGGCCACACUGGAACUGAGACACGGUCCAGACUCCUACGGGAGGCAGCAGUAGGGAAUCUUCCGCAAUGGGCGAAAGCCUGACGGAGCAACGCCGCGUGAGUGAAGAAGGUCUUCGGUUCGUAAAACUCUGUUAUUAGGGAAGAACAAAUGUGUAAGUAACUAUGCACGUCUUGACGGUACCUAAUCAGAAAGCCACGGCUAACUACGUG